ACACAGGAAAGGAGAGGGUGCAAGGAAAAUUCCGCCUUUCCGUUGCUGCUUCAAGUUACAUUUGUACUUGCAGACUUGGCAAGUCUGCCGAGUCCGUAGUCUUGUGACUAGUUGACAGAUGGAAACAGUGAAGGCCCAGAGAGAUUCAGUCACUUGCUCAAGGCCACAGGCUGGCAGCUGCAGGCCUAGAGCCCUUCUCAUGAAGAGCAGGAAGUACCCAAAGCCACAGCCAG
rnacentral:lncRNA from 1 species